UACGUAGGGUGCAAGCGUUGUCCGGAAUUAUUGGGCGUAAAGAGCUCGUAGGCGGCUUGUUGCGUCGACCGUGAAAACCCGGGGCUCAACUUCGGGCUUGCGGUCGAUACGGGCGGGCUAGAGUUCGGUAGGGGAGACUGGAAUCCUGGUGUAGCGGUGAAAUGCGUAGAGAUCGGAAAGAACACCAACGGCGAAAGCACUCUGCUGGGCCGACACUGACACUGAGAGCACGAAAGCUAGGGGAGCGAAUGGG
rnacentral:rRNA from 1 species